GAUCCUGGCUCAGAAUCAACGCUGGCGGCGCGCCUAACACAUGCAAGUCGAACGAGAAAGUCCGCAAGGAUGAGUAAAGUGGCGUACGGGUGAGUAACACGUGGAUAACCCGCCCUUUAGUGGGGAAUACCGCUGGGAAACCGGCGACAAUACCGCAUAAGCUCGAGAGAGGAAAGCAGCAAUGCGCUGAAGGAGGGGUCCGCGGCCGAUUAGCUAGUUGGCAGGGUAAAAGCCUACCAAGGCUGUGAUCGGUAGCCGGCCUGAGAGGGCACACGGCCACACUGGCACUGAAACACGGGCCAGACUCCUACGGGAGGCAGCAGUGGGGAAUCUUGCACAAUGGGGGAAACCCUGAUGCAGCGACGCCGCGUGAGCGAUGAAGCCCUUCGGGGUGUAAAGCUCUUUCGGCAGGGACGAUAAUGACGGUACCUGCAGAAGCAGCUGCGGCUAACUACGUGCCAGCAGCCGCGGUAAUACGUAGGCAGCAAGCGUUGUUCGGAGUUACUGGGCGUAAAGGGUGCGUAGGCGGCUUCUUAAGUCUGGUGUGAAAUCUCCCGGCUCAACUGGGAGGGUGCGCCGGAUACUGAGGGGCUAGAGUGUGGGAGAGGAAAGUGGAAUUCCUGGUGUAGCGGUGAAAUGCGUAGAUAUCAGGAGGAACACCGGUGGUGUAAACGGCUUUCUGGACCAUAA
rnacentral:rRNA from 1 species